rnacentral:tRNA from 3 species
GCGAAGCUAGGCUAGUUUGGUUAAACUGGGGGAUUGUGGUUCCCUCGUCCCGGGUUCGAUUCCCGGGCUUCGCCCCA